rnacentral:misc_RNA from 1 species
AGUUCUCAAGCUGAAUGCCCCCUUUUUUCAAAGGUGGGUCUUAGCUUGGUAUUGGGCUUUGCUGUAUCCUAUUGUUUAGGGACGGCUGGCCUUAAAUAUAUCAGCUGACCCUCUAGUGUGACGUUGGUUCUACUCAGCGUGAUAAUGAUCUUUACCGCUGAGGACAUCUUUCCAGAUGGCCAACUCUCAUUUAGGGUUGCUCUCUAAUCUGGGCUUACAGAUUUUCUUGCAAAAAUCUGUCCCACUUUCAG